rnacentral:rRNA from 1 species
UACGUAGGACGCAAGCGUUGUCCGGAAUUAUUGGGCGUAAAGAGCUCGUAGGCGGUUUGUCGCGUCUGCUGUGAAAAUCCGAGGCUCAACCUCGGACCUGCAGUGGGUACGGGCAGACUAGAGUGUGGUAGGGGAGACUGGAAUUCCUGGUGUAGCGGUGGAAUGCGCAGAUAUCAGGAGGAACACCAAUGGCGAAGGCAGGUCUCUGGGCCACAACUGACGCUGAGGAGCGAAAGCGUGGGGAGCGAAC